GCGGUCGUAGCUCAGCUGGUUAGAGCACUGGAUUGUGGUUCCAGAUGUCGCGGGUUCGAACCCCGUCGAUCGCC
rnacentral:tRNA from 1 species